UGUGGUUACUCUAUCCGCCGCAAGGGCUACCAGAAGUGAUGUUGCAAUUGCCAAACACAGCGCGCUACACUGUAUACGCAAUGGCGAGCAACGUGUUGGAAUAUGAGGAGGGGGAGGAUUUCGACGUACAGGAGCACCCAACUGAACUUGGCAUCGUCAAACCGUACAUGUUUGAGCCGAUCAAGAGGUCGGAACCUGACAGUGACGAUGACGAGCGGCCAAGUAGCAGCUGUACAACAGAAAAAGAGAUUGGCCACUGGCUCGAUGUGUGACGUUCCUCCUUUGGAGCUUGGGUGGCGCUUUGCGCCUUGCCUCUCUCUCCCCAGUAAUCAGCAUCACCUUGGCCGCGCACCUCCUCUUCAAUCAGCACUCAUCAUUGCCUGCAUAUAAGCCUUGUUCCUUCCGUGGCUUCCCCGUCUCCCUGACAGCUCCAGCCGUCUACUACCCCAUCUGCUUAAGUUUCCGCUUCCUGCUCGCCCCUUGUUCCCGACGGUCCACCACCUCGCCUUGGAUGUCAUUACCCUGAGCCAAC